GCUCAGUAGCCUCCUGUGGCUGGUGGCUACCAUGCUGGACAAUGCUGACCUAGAGGGGCAAAAGCUAAGACCGCUCACCAUCUGAACCCUGGCCACUCUGCUGUGGGGCUCUUUAAAGAAAACAAAGGGAAAGGAAAGGUCAUUUCUCGACUGGUGAGACAGAAAGGAUCGCUGGGAACCUGGAACUGUAGGAGACAGUGUUCAACAACAGGAGUCAGAUGGAAAAGAUCAGUAACAAAAAAAAUCAGGAAAACAGUUCAAGACUUAGAAAACUUUGACAUCUUUUCCGUGACCAUCAAAACGUGAUUUUUAAAAGUUCCAGAAGAAGCCAUGUCAUUUGUAAGACAUCCCACCAAAUUUUAACUUGGUGCCACCUUUAGCACACAGCAAAACGCUAUGCCUUUGACAGGCCAUCUUGACUCAGAAACUUAAGAUGUUAA